GUUUGUAUUUUGAUUUACUAAUGGUUUCCUUCAUGUGAAUGUUUUAUUGCAUUAUCCGAUUUCUAAUCUGCAGUAAAUGUGACACAAGUUUAUCACUUCUCAUUGUAUGGAGUGAACCGAGGCAGCAACUAGCUGGACGUGGAAGUGUUGUUCCUGAAGGAGAAGUAUGAGGUUGUGCUUGAGAAGAUCUCCAGGCUGGAGGAGAUGGCUUCUCUAUUCAUUUAUUUUCUCCCUGAAGCAUGGGAUGUCGGAUUCAGAGCAACAAGGCGACUAAAGGAUGGGGUUAUCGCAAGGAGGCACACACAUAGAUGAUCGGUGAGGUCGCUAGAGCUUAUGAGGUGGAGUGAGG